UACGUAGGGGGCAAGCGUUGUCCGGAAUCAUUGGGCGUAAAGCGCGCGUAGGCGGCUCGAUAAGUCCAUUGUGAAAGUCAAAGGCUCAACCUUUGAAUGCCGAUGGAUACUGUCGAGCUAGAGUCCGGAAGAGGCGAGUGGAAUUCCUGGUGUAGCGGUGGAAUGCGCAGAUAUCAGGAGGAACACCAAUAGCGAAGGCAGCUCGCUGGGACGGUACUGACACUCAUCCGCGAAAGCGUGGGGAGCAAACAGG
rnacentral:rRNA from 1 species